rnacentral:rRNA from 1 species
AUGUUAAAAAUUGAUUUAGCUAAGGCUGUUCAUAGAAUAGAAUGGCAUUGCAUUAUUUCAGCUCUCGCACGCAAGGGGCUUAAUGGUCAUUUCAUAAAACUAAUUCAUGCUUGCAUCUCUUCGCCAAUGUUCUCUGUCAUCAUUAACGGCCAAUCAUAUGCUAAAUUUAAUGGCUCCAGAGGCAUCAGACAGGGUUGUCCUUUGUCGCCAUAUCUUUUUGUCCUUGUAUUGAAUGAACUAUCUUUACGGCUACAGGAAGCUUUGCAAGCCAAUCAUCUCACGGGCAUUUUACUUGGACCAAAUCCCCCUAUUCACUCUCUCAUGUUUGCAGAUGACCUUAUCGUUUGCGGGAAAGCUAACAUGUGUGAAGCUCAAACUAUCUCUAAUGUUUUACGUCAAUUAUGU